ACGAUUCCAGCUCGCGCCUCUCCCUCCACACCUGCAUGCAAGCUGAGGGAGCUGGCUCCGGCCUUGGCCAGCCCAGAAAGGGGCUCCCACAGUGCAGCGGUGGGCUGAAGGCCUCCUCAAGUGCCGCCAAAGUGGGAGCCCAGGCAGAGGAGGCGCCGAGAGAGAGCGAGGGCUGUGAGGACUGCCAGCAGGCUGUCACCUCUCACUUCUGGGCUACAAACAUGGACAGCAUGUACUGAGGACUGGAGGCAACUGUAAUGCAACGAUUUUUCAUGCCAAAUGAUGUGGGAUCUGGAAAGAUGGGCGAAUAGGAAUAGCUCUGGUCUACAGCUCCCAGCAAAACCAACACAGAAGGUGGGUUAUUUCUGCAUUUCCAACUAAGUUACUGCUGAAAGCAUCCUGAGUGACACAAACUUGAAGCAUGCAAGAGGACUAAAUAACUUCCAAAGUCACACAUAUUGCAUGUCAAGAGCCAGCUUCAAACUCAAGUCCCUGUGACCAGAGGUCGAUGCUCUAAACACAUUUCUGCAUGACCUGCUUGUGGCAGCCUGGAGAAAUUCUACAUAAAUCUUCUCAGAUUCCAGAGGCUGCGAGGUCUGAGAUCAAGGAUCUGACACCUGGUGAGGGCCUUUUUGCUGCAUCAUUUCACAUAGAGACAAAAAGAUUCUCACCUGUAAGCUUGAAUUAUGUCUACAUCAUGCUUGGGAAAUGUCCAUAUAUUCUAAGCUUGAAACUGCAGUGAUGAGGACGUCACCACUUCCAGAGAGAACACUUUACUACCAGGCAACUUGAGUACAAUAGGCAGCCACAAAUAUCAUCCUUGCUAGCCAGGAAUGACAAGGAGCAAGCCACAUGAGGAGUCAGAAAAGAUUAUUCCAGGCAGGGCUGAGAUCUGCAUUAUGGUCUGGAGGCUGCCCCAGUCUCUCCUUUACCUCCAUAUUUUUCUCACAGUUCUGGAGACUUUAAGACCAAGAUCAAGAUGCUGGCAAGGACUUUUCUUCAUCAUGUGAAGAAGCCAACACAGACAUCAACUCUUGCAGAAAUAUUUACAUUCCAGGAUGGGUGGAAUAUUCAUCCUCUAAGACACUCUCCUUACUGCUCAUUUCACUUCUGGACGAACCACAUUGGUCUCUGAAAGGAGAAUGGACCUGGAGAACAAGACAGGAAGACAAUAUCAGGUAGGAGGCUCUGGGAUCAGUUAAGACAACUGGCCAUGAAGACUUCAAUGAAGGGGGCAGUAGUGGG
rnacentral:lncRNA from 1 species